UACGUAGGUGGCAAGCGUUGUCCGGAUUUACUGGGCGUAAAGAGCGCGCAGGCGGCCAAGUCAGUCGAAUGUGAAAGCCCCCGGCUCAACUGGGGAGGGUCAUUCGAUACUGCUCGGCUCGAAGACAGGAGAGGGAAGUGGAAUUCCCGGUGUAGUGGUGAAAUGCGUAGAUAUCGGGAGGAACACCAGUGGCGAAGGCGACUUUCUGGCCUGUUCUUGACGCUGAGGCGCGAAAGCUAGGGGAGCAAACGGG
rnacentral:rRNA from 1 species